ACUGAUUCAAGCCACGAAGAAGAAAGAAGACGCGGUUAUAGAAGCU
rnacentral:sRNA from 1 species